rnacentral:rRNA from 1 species
AAAUGAAUAGACGGGGGCCCGCACAAGCGGUGGAGUAUGUGGUUUAAUUCGAAGCAACGCGAAGAACCUUACCAGGCCUUGACAUCCCCUGCGAAGGUGCAGAGAUGUACCGGAGGCUACCAGGGAGACAGGUGGUGCAUGGUUGUCGUCAGCUCGUGUCGUGAGAUGUUGGGUUAAGUCCCGCAACGAGCGCAACCCUUGUGAUAUGUUACCAGUAUUGAGUUAGGGACUCAUAUCAGACUGCCGGUGACAAACCGGAGGAAGGUGGGGAUGACGUCAAAUCAUCAUGCCCCUUAUGGCCUGGGCUACACACGUACUACAAUGGCGUAUACAAAGGGCGGCGAGUCUGUGAAGAUGAGCGAAUCCCAUAAAGUACGUCUCAGUUCGGAUUGAAGUCUGCAACUCGACUUCAUGAAGUUGGAAUCGCUAGUAAUCGCGAAUCAGCAUGUCGCGGUGAAUACGUUCUCGGGCCUUGUACACACCGCCCGU